AUUGAACGCUGGCGGCAUGCCUUACACAUGCAAGUCGAACGGCAGCACGGGAGCAAUCCUGGUGGCGAGUGGCGAACGGGUGAGUAAUAUAUCGGAACGUGCCCAGUCUGGGGGAUAACGUAGCGAAAGCUACGCUAAUACCGCAUACGAUCUAUGGAUGAAAGCGGGGGAUCGCAAGACCUCGCGCGAUUGGAGCGGCCGAUAUCAGAUUAGGUAGUUGGUGAGGUAAAGGCUCACCAAGCCGACGAUCUGUAGCUGGUCUGAGAGGACGACCAGCCACACUGGGACUGAGACACGGCCCAGACUCCUACGGGAGGCAGCAGUGGGGGAAUUUUUGGGACAAUGGGCGCAAGCCUGAUCCAGCAAUGCCGCGUGCAGGAUGAAGGCCU
rnacentral:rRNA from 1 species